AUACAGAGGGUGCGAGCGUUAAUUGGAAUUACUGGGCGUAAAGCGCGCGUAGGCGGUCUAUUAAGUCAGAUGUGAAAUCCCAGGGCUCAACCUUGGAACUGCAUCUGAUACUGGUAGACUAGAGUUUUGGAGAGGGAAGUAGAAUUUCAGGUGUAGCGGUGAAAUGCAUAGAGAUCUGAAGGAAUACCAGUGGCGAAGGCGACUUCCUGGCCAAAAACUGACGCUGAGGUGCGAAAGCGUGGGUAGCAAACGGGAUUAGAAACCCCAGUAGUCC
rnacentral:rRNA from 1 species